AGAGCCGGAGGGGGCCAAAAUACCCAAGGGAAAGAGAAGGCAGGGGCCGGGGUGAACGAAGAUCACCCGGCCAACAGGACGGGGAGUCAAAGGGCAGAAGGGGAAGAUAAGAAGUACGGUAGAAAUUAGACCCCUGAGGGAGGUACCUAGGAGAGGACCCUGAGGGGGAAGGGGGUUUGUUAAAUAGCCUCCUUGAAGAUCCUUUAGGUCUGACAAGAACAGUUAGAUCAAUUCCUUUUCACAGAAGGGAAAAACAAGUAGUAAAGAUUAUGUUGCAGGCAGUAGAAAAACAGCAAAUAAGGAA